rnacentral:sRNA from 1 species
CUGACUGCGCGGGGCGCUCGGGACCUGCGCGCACCUCGGACCUUCACCACCCGCCCGGGCCGCGGGGAGCGGACGAGGGCCACAGCCCCCCACCCGCCAGGGAGCCCAGGUGCUCGGCGUCUGAACGUCUCAAAGGGCCACAGCGACAAUGACAGCUGACAAAGAGAAGAAAAGGAGUAGCUCGGAGAGAAGGAAGGAGAAGUCCCGGGAUGCUGCGCGGUGCCGGCGGAGCAAGGAGACGGAGGUGUUCUAUGAGCUGGCCCAUGAGCUGCCUCUGCCCCACAGCGUGAGCUCCCAUCUGGACAAGGCCUCCAUCAUGCGACUGGCGAUCAGCUUCCUGCGAACACACAAGCUCCUCUCCUCAGCAGUGACCUUCACCGUGAAUCCAGCUGUGAGAGGAGGGUAGGGACAGGACCAAGGAAGAACAUGGGCACCCAGAGGCUGUGGAGAACAGGGGCUGGGAGAACCAAGGACGGCUUUUGCUGACUUCUCAAUUUGUUGCCAUCUGGCCAUAAGACCCGUCCUCCACACUAGAUUGAGUCUGUAGGAAGCAUUCUAAUCUUUAACCUCCAGUGCCUUCUCCAGAACAGCAAGAAGGUGUGCCCAGAUGAUCUUUUCCCUCUGAGAAGCCAGUUAGGCCAAGCAAAUCAUUUGGUCUCUCUGAA